rnacentral:sRNA from 1 species
UCCCUGCUUGGCUGGCCAGAUGUGUUUGUUACAUACGUCUCCCUGCUUGUUCUGCAGCUUCUGUGUUUAGUAUACAUUUGAGCCUCCUUUUCUCCUUUUCCUACAGGAAAAGCCACCAGGGUGGGUGGCGAGCCUGGGAUCACCAGAGCUGUGAUGUCCAAAAUUCAGGUCUCUGAGCGGCCCCUGCUGUUCCUGUUGGACACUCCUGGCGUGCUGGCUCCUCGGAUUGAAAGUGUGGAGACAGGCCUGAAGCUGGCCCUGUGUGGAACGGUGCUGGACCACCUAGUCGGGGAGGAGACCAUGGCUGACUACCUGCUGUACACCCUCAACAAACACCAGCGCUUUGGGUGAGUGCCGUGAAUGCAGGGCAGCUGGGGCCCCUCCUCCUAGUCACCUCAUUUGAAAAAAAAC